rnacentral:rRNA from 1 species
UACAGAGGGGGCAAGCGUUGUUCGGAAUUACUGGGCGUAAAGGGCGCGUAGGCGGCCCGCACAAGUCUGCGGUGAAAACCCCCGGCUUAACCGGGGGCCGGCCGUGGAAACUGUCGGGCUGGAGGCUGGGAGAGGGCAGCGGAAUUCCCGGUGUAGCGGUGAAAUGCGUAGAGAUCGGGAGGAACACCGGCGGCGAAGGCGGCUGCCUGGACCAGUCCUGACGCUGAGGCGCGAAAGCUAGGGGAGCAAACAGG